rnacentral:rRNA from 1 species
CCUACGGGUGGCAGCAGUCAGGAAUAUUGGUCAAUGACCGAGAGCCUGCACCAGCCAAGUAGCGUGAAGGAUGACUGCCCUAUGGGUUGUAAACUUCUUUUAUAAAGGAAUAAAACGACGCACGUGUGCCUUUUUGCAUGUACUUUAUGAAUACGGAUCGGCUAACUCCGUGCCAUCCGACGCGGUAAUAUGGAGGAUCCGAGCGUUAUCCGGAUUUAUUGGGUUUAAAGGGUGCGUAGGCUGUGAGGUAAGUCAGCGGUGUAAUGCCCCGGCUCAACAGGGUGAAGUGCCAUUGAUACUGUGUUGGUGGAGUGCGAGAGAGGUAGGAGGAAGGUGUGGUGUAGCGGUGAAAUGCAUAGAUAUCACGCAGAACACCGAUUGCGAAGGCAGCUUAC